rnacentral:rRNA from 1 species
GACGAACGCUGGCGGCGUGCUUAACACAUGCAAGUCGAACGAAGUGGCGAACGGGUGAGUAACGCGUAAUCAACCUGCCCUUCAGAGGGGGACAACAGUUGGAAACGACUGAUAAUACCGCAUACUGAAGGAGGGGAUUGCGGCUGAGUAGCCAGUUGGAGGGGUAACGGCCCAACAAGGCGAAGAUCAGUAGCCGGUGUGGAGGGACGGACUGCCAAAAUGGGACUGAGGCACAGCCCAAACUCCUACGGGAGGCAGCAGGUGGGAAACGUUCGCAAUGGAAGAAAGUCUGACGGGGCAACGGCGCGUGAGUGAUGACGGCCUUCGGGUUGUAAAGCUCUGUUAAUCGGGGCACGGUACCAGAAUAGAAAGCCACGGCUAACUACGUGCCAGCAGCCGCGGUAAUAC